UUAUUAAUUUUUAUAUUGCUAUUAUUUUUUUAUUUAUUUUAAUAGAAAUAACUUUUUUAUUAGUAUAUUUUAUUGAAACUGUUAUUUAUUUAGCUAUAGUUUAUUAGUACUGUGAAGGAAUUUUUUUUAUUUAUUAUAAGCAGACUUUUUUUGUUGUACCUUUUGUAUCAGGGUUUAUUAAAUAUAUAAUAGUUAUUACUAUUUUUCCCGAAAUUAAAAGAGAUAUAUUUUAAUGAAGUUUUAUGUUACAUAAUAAUCUUUAAUUUAAAUAUAGAAGUUAUAUGCUAUUCAAUUUUAAAUAUCUGGUUAUCUAAUAAUUUAAUUUAAUUAAUACUGCUAUUUGUUAUUUUAUACUUUUAUUUUGUUUAAUGUUAUCAGUUAAGACUAUGGGGGAUAAGCUCUGUAUUUGUUUUAUAAUUUAUUUAUUUGUAUAAAGAUUUGUAGGCUUAAUAACAGUCAUCAUUUAUUUCGUUAUAGUUAAUUUUUAUUAAUUUUUUAUUUAUACUAAAUUUAAAUUUUUAUUAGAUUGUUUUAUUUAAUUAUUUAUUUUAAGUAAAAAUGAUAGAAUUAGUAGUUUUGAAUAUUUAAGUAUAGGAAUUCGGCAAAUUUAAUUCUCACCUGUUUAACAAAAACAUGUCCUUUAGAAUUAAAUAAUUUAAGGUCUGACCUGCCCGGUGAUAAUCAUUAAACGGCCGCAGUAUACUGACUGUGCGAAGGUAGCAUAAUCAUUUGUCUUUUAAUUGAAGGCUAGAAUGAAUGGUUUGAUGAAGGAUUAACUUUCUUUACUUAAUUUUUGUGAAUUUGAUUUUUUAGUUAAAAAGCUUAAAUUUUAUUGCUAGACGAGAAGACCCUAUAGAAUUUUAUUUAAUUUAUUUUAUUUGAUUUAUUUGUUAUUAAUUAAUUAUUAUAGGAUCGAUUAAAUUUUGUUGGGGCGAUGGUGGAAUUUUAUUAACUUCCAUUUUUUAUAAUUCAUAAAUUAAUGUGUUUUUUGACCCUUUAUUAUGGGUUAUGAGAUUAAAUUACCUUAGGGAUAACAGCGUAAUCUUUUCGGAGAGUUCAUAUCGAUGAAUAAGGUUUGCGACCUCGAUGUUGGAUUAAAGUUAGUCUUUGGUGUAGAAGCUUAUAUGACUGAGUCUGUUCGACUUUUAAAUCUUUACAUGAUCUGAGUUCAGACCGGCGUGAGCCAGGUUGGUUUCUAUCUGCAAUUUUUGAUUAGGUUUUAGUACGAAAGGACCGAACUUAAGUAAUAUUUAUAAUUUAAAUUGAUUAUUAUUAA
rnacentral:rRNA from 1 species